CUCAGGAGCAACGCCCGCCGCCAGGCGGAGCUGGGAAGGGAGGGCGGGGAGGUGCGUCUGCAGUCCCGGGUUCGGGCCCUAGUAGUCGGUGGCUGGUCGGUGACUGGGACCAGACCGUCGCCUCCUCCCUUUUACAGCUUUAAGUCUGUGACCCGAGGCCUCUCUGUAUAUUCCCGUGGGGUUGGGCCUAGUUGUCCUGGGAGAAACUAGAUGGAUGAGGAGUAUUUCCGAGACAGGUCCCAGGGCCAGCGCAGCCUUUUCUGUUGCAGAACCGCGACUGUUGUUUUGGGAUCCAGGCCGGAGGGUUUGUUGCUUGUGUUCAUUCCAGUUAACCAUUAGUACUCGAGAAGGUGGUACAGAACGCAUCUAUCCCCUUAGAAGAAAAGAAAUUAAAAGCCAAACUAAACUGGGAUAUAUAUUAAUAUAGGAAACUACCACUGAGACAUAGGAAAGUGUAUUAAAAUAUAACUAGUGAGGUGCUAUGUAUAAUUCAGAGGAAGGGGAAAUUAUGCAUGGGCCAGACUACUAACAAAAGGCUCCAAAGCCUGGGAUACGCUGAGGGCCUUUCCAUAACAGAAAAUGAAAAGGAACCUAAAUUUGAGACUAGAUUUGAGGAAAGGCACAGUUGCGCUGGAGUAGAAAGCGUCUGUCUACCGCAGUGGAAAUGAACUAAAGGGCUCCCAAAAUCUCUCCUGCAGCAUUUUCCUUGAGAAGGAGGAAGGUUUGCAUCUCUGUGAGAAGAAACAUCAGAAGCAGUUGAAAGACCAGGAUGUGGGUCCUCUGGGGCUGAGGAGGCAUUCUGAAUCAACUGUGUGUUCUACACCUGUGUUUUAACUGUGACCUGUCACAUGAGGACAAGUGUGGAAUUUCCCACUUUUGUGCCAUAAAUCUCUCUCUGGGAACAGUGUGGAAGAUGGAUUGAAAUGGUGUAAAAUUGAAGAUGUGGACUCCGGUUGGGAGACUACACCCUAGAUAAGAUGAAGAGAACUUGAAGCAAGACAAUAGCAAUGGGAAUAUAAAGGAGAGGAGACAUUUGAGUGAAAUUAAGGAAGCACAAUCUGCAGACUGUUUUCUUUUUUUUAAGAGUCAGGGUCUCCCUAUUUUGCCCAGGCUGGUCUCAAAGUCCUAGGCUCAAGCGACCCACCCACCUCAGCCUUCCAAAAUGCUGGAAUUACAGGGGUGAACUGCCUCACCAUGCCUCAGUCUGCAGAAUUUGAUGACUGAAUGUAUUUGGAGAGAGUCUGUGGCUUGGAUGACUGGGAGCUGUGAUUGGUUGAUUGAUUUUGAGGCGGAGUUUCACUCUUGUUGCCCAGGCUGAAGUGCAGUGGCACAACCUCUGCUCACUGCAACCGCUGCC
rnacentral:lncRNA from 1 species